rnacentral:rRNA from 1 species
GUAGGUGGCAAGCGUUGUCCGGAAUUAUUGGGCGUAAAGCGCGCGCAGGCGGUUCUUUAAGUCUGAUGUGAAAAGCCCACGGGCUCAACCGUGGAGGGUCAUUGGAAACUGGAGAACUUGAGUACAGAAGAGGAAAGCGGAAUUCCACGUGUAGCGGUGAAAUGCGUAGAGAUGUGGAGGAACACCAGUGGCGAAGGCGGCUUUCUGGUCUGUAACUGACGCUGAGGCGCGAAAGCGUGGGGAGCAAACAGGAUUAGAUACCCUGGUAGUCCACGCCGUAAACGAUGAGUGCUAAGUGUUAGGGGGUUUCCGCCCCUUAGUGCUGCAGCUAACGCAUUAAGCACUCCGCCUGGGGAGUACGGCCGCAAAGGCUG